rnacentral:rRNA from 1 species
UACGUAGGGACCAAGCGUUGUUCGGAUUUACUGGGCGUAAAGGGCGCGUAGGCGGCGCGGUAAGUCACUUGUGAAAUCUCUGAGCUUAACUCAGAACGGCCAAGUGAUACUGCAGUGCUAGAGUGUGGAAGGGGCAAUCGGAAUUCUUGGUGUAGUGGUGAAAUACGUAGAUAUCUGGAGGAAUACCGGUGGCGAAGGCGGCUGCCUGGUCCUACAUUGACGCUGAGAUACGAAAGCGUGGGGAGCAAACAGG